GAAGGAACUAGGCAAAAUGGCACCGUAACUUCGGGAGAAGGUGCGCCGGCUAGGGUGAAGGAUUUACUCCGUAAGCUCUGGCUGGUCGAAGAUACCAGGCCGCUGCGACUGUUUAUUAAAAACACAGCACUCUGCAAACACGAAAGUGGACGUAUAGGGUGUGACGCCUGCCCGGUGCCGGAAGGUUAAUUGAUGGGGUUAGCGCAAGCGAAGCUCUUGAUCGAAGCCCCGGUAAACGGCGGCCGUAACUAUAACGGUCCUAAGGUAGCGAAAUUCCUUGUCGGGUAAGUUCCGACCUGCACGAAUGGCGUAACGAUGGCGGCGCUGUCUCCACCCGAGACUCAGUGAAAUUGAAAUCGCUGUGAAGAUGCAGUGUAUCCGCGGCUAGACGGAAAGACCCCGUGAACCUUUACUGUAGCUUUGCACUGGACUUUGAGCCUGCUUGUGUAGGAUAGGUGGGAGGCUUUGAAGCGUGGACGCCAGUUCGCGUGGAGCCAUCCUUGAAAUACCACCCUGGCAUGCUUGAGGUUCUAACUCUGGUCCGUGAUCCGGAUCGAGGACAGUGUAUGGUGGGCAGUUUGACUGGGGCGGUCUCCUCCUAAAGAGUAACGGAGGAGUACGAAGGUGCGCUCAGACCGGUCGGAAAUCGGUCGCAGAGUAUAAAGGCAAAAGCGCGCUUGACUGCGAGACAGACACGUCGAGCAGGUACGAAAGUAGGUCUUAGUGAUCCGGUGGUUCUGUAUGGAAGGGCCAUCGCUCAACGGAUAAAAGGUACUCCGGGGAUAACAGGCUGAUACCGCCCAAGAGUUCAUAUCGACGGCGGUGUUUGGCACCUCGAUGUCGGCUCAUCACAUCCUGGGGCUGAAGCCGGUCCCAAGGGUAUGGCUGUUCGCCAUUUAAAGUGGUACGCGAGCUGGGUUUAGAACGUCGUGAGACAGUUCGGUCCCUAUCUGCCGUGGACGUUUGAGAUUUGAGAGGGGCUGCUCCUAGUACGAGAGGACCGGAGUGGACGAACCUCUGGUGUUCCGGUUGUCACGCCAGUGGCAUUGCCGGGUAGCUAUGUUCGGAAAAGAUAACCGCUGAAAGCAUCUAAGCGGGAAACUUGCCUCAAGAUGAGAUCUCACUGGGAACUUGAUUCCCCUGAAGGGCCGUCGAAGACUACGACGUUGAUAGGCUGGGUGUGUAAGCGUUGUGAGGCGUUGAGCUAACCAGUACUAAUUGCCCGUGAGGCUUGACCAU
rnacentral:rRNA from 1 species